GUGCAGCAGUCGCGAAAACUCCGCAAUACGCGAAAGCGUGACGGGGCUACCCCGAGUGUCGUCCGCUGAGGACGACUUUUCCACGCUGUAAGGAGGCGUGGGAAUAAGGAGAGGGCAAGUCUGGUGUCAGCCGCCGCGGUAAUACCAGCUCUCCGAGUGGUAGGGACGAUUAUUGGGCUUAAAGCGUCCGUAGCCGGCUCAGCAAGUCUCCCGUUAAAUCCAGCGAUUUAAUCGUUGGACUGCGGGGGAUACUGUCCGGCUAGGGGGCGAGAGAGGCCGACGGUAUUUCCGGGGUAGGGGUGAAAUCCUAUAAUCCCGGGAGGACCACCAGUGGCGAAGGCUGUCGGCUAGAACGCGCCCGACGGUGAGGGGCGAAAGCUGGGGGAGCGAACCGGAUUAGAUACCCGCGUAGUCC
rnacentral:rRNA from 1 species